rnacentral:rRNA from 1 species
CAGUCGCCGCGGGAAGACAGAGGAUGCAAGCGUUAUCCGGAAUGAUUGGGCGUAAAGCGUCUGUAGGUGGCUUUUCAAGUCCGCCAUCAAAUCCCAAGGCUCAACCCUGGACAGGCGGUGGAAAAUACCAAGCUGGAGUACGGUAGGGGCAGAGGGAAUUUCCGGUGAAGCGGUGAAAUGCGUUGAGAUUGGAAAGAACACCAACGGUGAAAGCACUCUGCUGGGCCGACACUGACACUGAGAGACGAAAGCUAGGGGAGCAAAUGGGAUUAGAUACCCCCGUAGUCCCUGUCUCUUAUAA